rnacentral:rRNA from 1 species
GACGAACGCUGGCGGCGUGCCUAAUACAUGCAAGUUGAGCGAUGAAGAUUGGUGCUUGCCCCAAUUUGAAGAGCAGCGAACGGGUGAGUAACGCGUGGGGAAUCUGCCUUUGAGCGGGGGACAACAUUUGGAAACGAAUGCUAAUACCGCAUAACAACUUUAAACAUAAGUUUUAAGUUUGAAAGAUGCAAUUGCAUCACUCAAAGAUGAUCCCGCGUUGUAUUAGCUAGUUGGUGAGGUAAAGGCUCACCAAGGCGAUGAUACAUAGCCGACCUGAGAGGGUGAUCGGCCACAUUGGGACUGAGACACGGCCCAAACUCCUACGGGAGGCAGCAGUAGGGAAUCUUCGGCAAUGGACGAAAGUCUGGCCGAGCAACGCCGCGUGAGUGAAGAAGGGUGUCGGAUCGUAAAACUCUGUUGGUAGAGAAGAACGUUGGUGAGAGUGGAAAGCUCAUCAAGUGACGGUAACUACCCAGAAAGGGACGGCUAACUACGUG